rnacentral:rRNA from 1 species
AUGUAUCCAGUGGCUUGGGCAGUUGUUGAGCAGGAAACAAAAGAGAGCUGGAAGUGGUUUGUUGUCUUGCUUAUCAAGGAUCUAGACAUUAACAAUAAUGGAGCUGGCUGGGUCUUCAUUUCUGAACAGCAAAAGGGUUUGAUUAAUGCCAUGAGGGAUUAUCUGCCAAAUGCAGAGCACAGGCAGUGUGCUAGACAUAUCUAUGCCAAUUGGAGGAAGAAGCAUAGGGCACAUGAAUGGCAGAAAAAAUUCUGGGCAGUGGCCAAAGCAUCUAACAGACAAGAUUUCAACUACUACAAAGCAAAGCUAACACAAGAAACACCAGAGGGUGCAAAGGAUAUCAUGAACACAGAGCCAGGACACCGGGCAAGAGCAUUUUUUGCAGUUGGUUCUUUCUAUGAGUCAGUUGACAACAACUUGUGUGAAUCUUUCAAUCAUGCCAUCAUUGAAGCAAGGUUCUAUCCCUUAAUCUCAAUGCAAGAGAAGAUCAGAAAGAAAAUUCUAGCUAGAAUUCAGGACAAAGGGAGAAAGGAGCAAGGUUUCAUGGGAAAAUAUGUCCAAGCAUAUUUAAGAAGUUGA